rnacentral:rRNA from 1 species
UUAGCCAUAAACUUAGAUAGUCGCAUUAACAAGACUAUCCGCCAGAGAACUACUAGCCACAGCUUAAAACUCAAAGGACUUGGCGGUGCUUUAUAUCCCU